rnacentral:rRNA from 1 species
UACGAAGGGGGCUAGCGUUGCUUGGAAUUACUGGGCGUAAAGGGAGCGUAGGCGGACAGUUAAGUCAGAGGUGAAAGCCCAGGGCUCAACCCUGGAAUUGCCUUUGAUACUGAUUGUCUUGAGUAUGGGAGAGGUAUGCGGAACUCCGAGUGUAGAGGUGAAAUUCGUAGAUAUUCGGAAGAACACCAGUGGCGAAGGCGGCAUACUGGCCCAUUACUGACGCUGAGGCUCGAAAGCGUGGGGAGCAAACAGG